ACCGUAGGAAACAGAUGACUAAUACCGGAUAACAACAGAUGAUGCCUAUCAACUGUUUAAAAGAUGGUUCUGCUAUCACUCUUGGAUGGACCUGCGGUGCAUUAGCUAGUUGGUAGGGUAACGGCCUACCAAGGCGAUGAUGCAUAGCCGAGUUGAGAGACUGAUCGGCCACAUUGGGACUGAGACACGGCCCAAACUCCUACGGGAGGCAGCAGGU
rnacentral:rRNA from 1 species